UCAGAUGGAAGUUGCACAGAUGUGGAGC
rnacentral:sRNA from 1 species